rnacentral:rRNA from 2 species
AACGCGAAGAACCUUACCUACUCUUGACAUCCAGAGAACUUAGCAGAGAUGCUUUGGUGCCUUCGGGAACUCUGAGACAGGUGCUGCAUGGCUGUCGUCAGCUCGUGUUGUGAAAUGUUGGGUUAAGUCCCGCAACGAGCGCAACCCUUAUCCUUUGUUGCCAGCGGUUAGGCCGGGAACUCAAAGGAGACUGCCAGUGAUAAACUGGAGGAAGGUGGGGAUGACGUCAAGUCAUCAUGGCCCUUACGAGUAGGGCUACACACGUGCUACAAUGGCAUAUACAAAGAGAAGCGACCUCGCGAGAGCAAGCGGACCUCAUAAAGUAUGUCGUAGUCCGGAUUGGAGUCUGCAACUCGACUCCAUGAAGUCGGAAUCGCUAGUAAUCGUAGAUCAGAAUGCUACGGUGAAUACGUUCCCGGGUCUUGUACACACCG